AGAGUUUGAUCAUGGCUCAGGAUGAACGCUGGCGGCGUGCUUAACACAUGCAAGUCGAACGAAGCACUUUAACCUGAUUCUUCGGAUGAAGGUUUUUGUGACUGAGUGGCGGACGGGUGAGUAACGCGUGGGUAACCUGCCUCAUACAGGGGGAUAACAGUUAGAAAUGACUGCUAAUACCGCAUAAGACCACGGAGUCGCAUGGCUCAGUGGGAAAAACUCCGGUGGUAUGAGAUGGACCCGCGUCUGAUUAGGUAGUUGGUGGGGUAACGGCCUACCAAGCCAACGAUCAGUAGCCGACCUGAGAGGGUGACCGGCCACAUUGGGACUGAGACACGGCCCAAACUCCUACGGGAGGCAGCAGUGGGGAAUAUUGCACAAUGGGGGAAACCCUGAUGCAGCGACGCCGCGUGAGCGAAGAAGUAUUUCGGUAUGUAAAGCUCUAUCAGCAGGGAAGAAAAUGACGGUACCUGACUAAGAAGCACCGGCUAAAUACGUGCCAGCAGCCGCGGUAAUAC
rnacentral:rRNA from 1 species